UCAAUAUAAAUUGAUUAAUAUUUAUUUAUUAAUUUAUUACCUUUGGUUAUAUUAAUUAUUAAAAAUAAUUAUAAAUAAUUUAUGUUUUAGUAAGUUUUAUUGAACUAAUUUUAUUAAUAAUAGUUUAUUAGUACUGUGGAGGGUUAUUGAAAUAAUUUGAAAAAUUUUUAUAAUAAAAGAAAAUUUAUAUUAUUGUACCUUGUGUAUCAGGGUGGAUUAAUUAUUUAGUAUUUAUUUACUAUUCUCGAUUUUAUAAGAGUUAGUUAUAUAUUUAAGUUAAUGUAUCAAAAUUAUUUAUAAUAUAUAAUUAGAAAUGAGAUGUUAUUCGUUUAUAAUGGUAUCUAGUUUUUUUAGAAAUUAAUUUAAUUUAGUAAUUUUUAGUUUUUAUUUUAAUUAUAUAAAAUAAAAAUUUAUUAAUUAUAAUAUUUUAAGGGAUAAGCUUUAAAAUAAAUUUUUAAAAAUUUAUUUAAUUUUUUAAAAUGUAUGCAUAGAAUUUGUAAUCAUUUAUGAAUUUGUUAUAAAUUAUGAAAUUAUUUAUAAUAUUUAAUUGAAUUUUAAUUAUUUAUAAAAAUUUUUUAUUUAAUUAUUUUAUAAAAUUAAUAAUGAUUUAAUUAGUAUAUUUAUAUAUAUAUAUAUAUAUAUAUUGUUUUAAGUAUAUUAAAUUGUGAAGUUUAUAUAAAUAACUCGGCAAAUAUAAAUACUCGCCUGUUUAACAAAAACAUGUCUUUUUGUAUUAAAUUUAAAGUCUGACCUGCCCAAUGAUAUUAUUUAAUGGCCGCAGUAUUUUAACUGUGCAAAGGUAGCAUAAUAAUUAGUCUUUUAAUUGAAGGCUGGUAUGAAUGGUUGGACGUAGUAUAAGCUGUUUCAUAUAAAAUUAAAAUAUAAUUUUAUUUUUUAGUCAAAAAGCUAAAAUUUAACUAAAAGACGAGAAGACCCUAUAAAUCUUUAUAUUUUUAUAUAUUUUAAUUUUUUAGAUUAUUUUUACUAUAAUUUAUAAAAGUAUUUUAUUGGGGUGAUAUUAAAAUUUAAAAAACUUUUAAUUUAUUAAAUCAUUGAUUUAUGAAUUAAUGAUCUUUUAUUAUGGAUUAUAAGAUUAAGUUACUUUAGGGAUAACAGCGUAAUUUUUUUGGAGAGUUCUUAUCGAUAAAAGAGAUUGCGACCUCGAUGUUGGAUUAAGAUAAAUAUUUAGGUGUAGCCGCUUAAAUUUUAAGUCUGUUCGACUUU
rnacentral:rRNA from 1 species